rnacentral:rRNA from 1 species
CCUACGGGAGGCAGCAGUGGGGAAUAUCGGACAAUGGGGGCAACCCUGAUCCAGCCAUGCCGCGUGUGUGAAGAAGGCCCUCGGGUUGUAAAGCACUUUCAGCGAGGAAGAACGCCUAGCGGUUAAUACCCGCUAGGAAAGACAUCACUCGCAGAAGAAGCACCGGCUAACUCCGUGCCAGCAGCCGCGGUAAUACGGAGGGUGCAAGCGUUAAUCGGAAUUACUGGGCGUAAAGCGCGCGUAGGUGGCUUGAUAAGCCGGUUGUGAAAGCCCCGGGCUCAACCUGGGAACGGCAUCCGGAACUGUCAAGCUAGAGUGCAGGAGAGGAAGGUAGAAUUCCCGGUGUAGCGGUGAAAUGCGUAGAGAUCGGGAGGAAUACCAGUGGCGAAGGCGGCCUUCUGGACUGACACUGACACUGAGGUGCGAAAGCGUGGGUAGCAAACAGGAUUAGAUACCCUGGUAGUCCACGCCGUAAACGAUGUCGACCAGCCGUUGGGUGCCUAGCGCACUUUGUGGCGAAGUUAACGCGAUAAGUCGACCGCCUGGGGAGUACGGCCGCAAGGUUAAAACUCAAAUGAAUUGACGGGA